rnacentral:lncRNA from 1 species
UACGUAUGCACUGAUAUUUACACAUGCAUAACAUACAUACAAACAUAUAUACAUAUACAUACACACAUCUGUGCAUACACCCACAUAUAUACACACAUCUAUCCGUCCAUACACAUUCAUAGGUACAUAUACUCAGGCACACACUCAUGUAUGCACCCACGUAUGCACCUGCAUAUGCACACAUAUACACUUACAUACACAUAUGUCACAUAUGCACUCUAUGUGUACACACACGUACCCCCAGACAGAGGUUCACAUUUACAUGCAUGCACUUCAGGUCGUGCACAUACAUAUGUGCACAUACAACAUAUACACCUCUGUACAAUACCUCAUGUGAUGUAUACAUACACACACACAGCCACACCAAGCUCCAUGCAUGUACCCUUGUGUGCACGCGUGCGGGUGUGUGCACGUGCACACACGUGCAUGCCUGGCUGUUGCUACCACACAUGCCCAUGUGCCUCCAGCUCUGAUCCUCUCACGUGAGGGCUCAGGGGCCUUUCACAUGCAACUGGCAGCCUUAGUCAUGGCCGCAACACGCGGGCCCUGCUGGUGCACUGCCACCCCAGCCCCCAGGCCCCGCUCGGGACCCCAGAGUGUCCUUGUGGAGGUAGAAUGGGCCCAGACUCAGUGAAGCAGAGCCAGCGUCCUGCCGGCAAGCCAGGCCGACACGUGGAGCCCGUGGCCCUGCUGGCCUCCAGCCUCAGUUCCCACCCUGUGCUGAGGUUGGUGUUGACAGCUUCAGUGUGAAGGACACCCCCCCAUAGCAAAGGAGGCCAGGAGCCUCGGCUGAGCCCCCCGGCCGGCGUGGAGGCCCCGGGCUGACAUGGGACUCAUCUCCCUGCACCUGACAGGCCUUCCUGUUGCUCAUUUAAAUUCUUCACAUGCUUUAAAGCCUCAUUUCUUCCUUUCUUGUCUCCCGGAAUUUUACUCCUGCCUAAUUUAUAAGAAAACUGUGCUUUGAACUUUAACAAAGCAGCUAGAGAACAGGCCACUUCCGC